rnacentral:rRNA from 1 species
GGUUAAGCGACUAAGCGUACACGGUGGAUGCCCUGGCAGUCAGAGGCGAUGAAGGACGUGCUAAUCUGCGAUAAGCGUCGGUGAGGUGAUAUGAACCGUUAUAACCGGCGAUUUCCGAAUGGGGAAACCCAGUGUGUUUCGACACACUAUCAUUAACUGAAUCCAUAGGUUAAUGAGGCGAACCGGGGGAACUGAAACAUCUAAGUACCCCGAGGAAAAGAAAUCAACCGAGAUUCCCCCAGUAGCGGCGAGCGAACGGGGAGGAGCCCAGAGCCUGAAUCAGUGUGUGUGUUAGUGGAAGCGUCUGGAAAGGCGCGCGAUACAGGGUGACAGCCCCGUACACAAAAAUGCACAUAUUGUGAGCUCGAUGAGUAGGGCGGGACACGUGGUAUCCUGUCUGAAUAUGGGGGGACCAUCCUCCAAGGCUAAAUACUCCUGACUGACCGAUAGUGAACCAGUACCGUGAGGGAAAGGCGAAAAGAACCCCGGCGAGGGGAGUGAAAAAGAACCUGAAACCGUGUACGUACAAGCAGUGGGAGCCUCUUAAUGGGGUGACUGCGUACCUUUUGUAUAAUGGGUCAGCGACUUAUAUUCUGUAGCAAGGUUAACCGAAUAGGGGAGCCGAAGGGAAACCGAGUCUUAACUGGGCGUUAAGUUGCAGGGUAUAGACCCGAAACCCGGUGAUCUAGCCAUGGGCAGGUUGAAGGUUGGGUAACACUAACUGGAGGACCGAACCGACUAAUGUUGAAAAAUUAGCGGAUGACUUGUGGCUGGGGGUGAAAGGCCAAUCAAACCGGGAGAUAGCUGGUUCUCCCCGAAAGCUAUUUAGGUAGCGCCUCGUGAAUUCAUCUCCGGGGGUAGAGCACUGUUUCGGCAAGGGGGUCAUCCCGACUUACCAACCCGAUGCAAACUGCGAAUACCGGAGAAUGUUAUCACGGGAGACACACGGCGGGUGCUAACGUCCGUCGUGAAGAGGGAAACAACCCAGACCGCCAGCUAAGGUCCCAAAGUCAUGGUUAAGUGGGAAACGAUGUGGGAAGGCCCAGACAGCCAGGAUGUUGGCUUAGAAGCAGCCAUCAUUUAAAGAAAGCGUAAUAGCUCACUGGUCGAGUCGGCCUGCGCGGAAGAUGUAACGGGGCUAAACCAUGCACCGAAGCUGCGGCAGCGACGCUUAUGCGUUGUUGGGUAGGGGAGCGUUCUGUAAGCCUGUGAAGGUGUGCUGUGAGGCAUGCUGGAGGUAUCAGAAGUGCGAAUGCUGACAUAAGUAACGAUAAAGCGGGUGAAAAGCCCGCUCGCCGGAAGACCAAGGGUUCCUGUCCAACGUUAAUCGGGGCAGGGUGAGUCGACCCCUAAGGCGAGGCCGAAAGGCGUAGUCGAUGGGAAACAGGUUAAUAUUCCUGUACUUGGUGUUACUGCGAAGGGGGGACGGAGAAGGCUAUGUUGGCCGGGCGACGGUUGUCCCGGUUUAAGCGUGUAGGCUGGUUUUCCAGGCAAAUCCGGAAAACCAAGGCUGAGGCGUGAUGACGAGGCACUACGGUGCUGAAGCAACAAAUGCCCUGCUUCCAGGAAAAGCCUCUAAGCAUCAGGUAACAUCAAAUCGUACCCCAAACCGACACAGGUGGUCAGGUAGAGAAUACCAAGGCGCUUGAGAGAACUCGGGUGAAGGAACUAGGCAAAAUGGUGCCGUAACUUCGGGAGAAGGCACGC